rnacentral:snoRNA from 1 species
AGCCCCUGGAAAUGGGCAAAGAGACACCUUGUGGUGGUGUUAUUCUUAUAUCAGUCAGGGGCAGAGCAGAUGGCAGUCCUUUGUUCAUCCUAGUUUGGUGCCUAACUUGGUGGC